UACGUAGGUGACAAGCGUUGUCCGGAUUUACUGGGCGUAAAGAGCGCGCAGGCGGUCGAUCAAGUCGAGUGUGAAAGCCCCCGGCUCAACUGGGGAGGGUCAUUCGAUACUGAUCGACUCGAAGGCAGGAGAGGGUAGUGGAAUUCCCGGUGUAGUGGUGAAAUGCGUAGAUAUUGGGAGGAACACCAGUGGCGAAGGCGGCUCACUGGACCGGAACUGGACGCUGAUGCGCGAAAGCGUGGGGAGCAAACGGG
rnacentral:rRNA from 1 species